rnacentral:rRNA from 1 species
AGUGAACGCUGGCGGUAUGCCUAACACAUGCAAGUCGAACGGCAGCACAGUAAGAUCUUGCUCUUACUGGUGGCGAGGGGCGGACGGGUGAGGAAUACAUCGGAAUCUACUUUUUCGUGGGGGAUAACGUAGGGAAACUUACGCUACUACCGCAUACAACCUACGGGUGAAAGCAGGGGAUCUUCGGACCUUGCGCGAUUGAAUGAGCCGCUUUCGGAUUAGCUAGUUGGCGGGGUAAAGGCCCCCCAAGGCAACGAUCCGUAGCUUGUCUGAGAGGAUGAUCAGCCAAACUGGAACUGAGACACGGUCCAGACCCCUAGGGGAGGCAGCAGUGGGGAAUAUUGGACAAUGGGCGAAAGCCUGAUCCAGCCAGACCGCGUGGGUGAAGAAGGCUUUCGGGUUGUAAAGCCCUUUUGUUGGGAAAGAAAAGCAGCAGGUUAAUACCCCGCUGUUCGGACGGUACCAAAAGAAUAAGCACCGGCAACCUUCGU